CAGUCGCCGCGGGAAUACGUAGGGCGCAAGCGUUGUCCGGAAUUAUUGGGCGUAAAGAGCUCGUAGGCGGUCUGUCGCGUCUGGUGUGAAAUCCCGAGGCUCAACCUCGGGCUUGCAUCGGGUACGGGCAGACUAGAGUGCGGUAGGGGAGACUGGAAUUCCUGGUGUAGCGGUGGAAUGCGCAGAUAUCAGGAGGAACACCGAUGGCGAAGGCAGGUCUCUGGGCCGCAACUGACGCUGAGGAGCGAAAGCAUGGGGAGCGAACAGGAUUAGAUACCCCCGUAGUCCCUGUCUCUUAUAC
rnacentral:rRNA from 1 species